rnacentral:lncRNA from 1 species
CCUUGGAGGCUGCUGCUCCAGGAACUCGCGGUCGGCCGGGAGCCGGGGAGCUUCGUUGCUGGGAGCGGGCGGUAUUCGCGGACUCCGGCGGCCCUGGCGGGUCGCGGCCGGGAUCCGAGCCGGGGAUGACGAUGCUGAUGGAGCUGAUGGGGCAAGAGUGGGAACGGAGGCACGUACACUGAAAUUUAAGUCAUCCAAGUUGGGACUUAAGAUAGCAGGUUAAUAUUGUCUCAGGCGAGACUUAGAACGUCUUUUCUGGUAUCCCAGUCUGCAGUGGGCAAAUCUAUUGUCUUUAUUUCUCAUUUAAGGGCAGAAUGGAGGGAUGACAUAUUUUUACUUUUCAAGAGGCGGUUGCCACUUUUAAGUCACUGUUGUGUGUGUGUGUGUACAUACACAAACAUACGAUAGUGUGUUUUCAGAGCAAGUAUCAAAGGCUAAAGACUUGGAGUGAUACUAGUGUUUAAAAGCCUUUUUAAAAAAAUUAAGAUGUGAUGAGAAACUGGAGAAUUGACUUUUAAAAAUUUCUUUUCUGUAGAAGAGGCUAUCUUCAAAAUGGAGUCCUAAAGUAUAUCUGAUGGAUAGAAUUUAAAUUCUUAACACUGUAUAUACCCUGUGGUCAAAAGCAUCAACGUAAAACUUGAUGUUUAUCAGAUUACUUAUGUUUCAAUUUUCCUGUGGUUAGAAAAAUUAAGACAGAAGUAAGCUAUUAACGGUAUUUGCUUGUAAGAGUAACGUUAAAGGUUUAAGGAAAGGUUUGUUGAAAUCGAUAUGCAUCACACGAAUCAUUUAUUUUCAAUGUUGUUUUCCAGUUGCAGCAAUCAUUUGUGUUUACAUGACUUUGAAAAAGGGUUUAGUUUAUGUUGAUUUUGACCCUCUUAUUUAAUCUCUAGUGCAGAAGUGCAGCUUUCUGCAGGCUGCGCCUCAAUCGCUAAGUUCCACUCUCCAUCCUCUGCCGCGCUACUCCUGGCAUGUGGAUCACCAAGAUACAAUUUCUGGUCCUGUCUGUUCUUAUUGAUGUCCUUUACAGUUAAUAAAUUUGAUUGCCACUAA